rnacentral:rRNA from 1 species
CGAACGCUGGCGGCGUGCCUAACACAUGCAAGUCGAGCGCGAAAAGGGCAACCUGAGUAGAGCGGCGCACGGGUGCGUAACACGUGGGUAAUCUGCCUUGGAGCUUGGGAUAACCUUCCGAAAGGUUGGCUAAUACCAGAUAAGCUCACGGUCUCUUUGGAGAUUGUGGGGAAAAGUAGGCCACUGUUUACAAGCUUACACUUCAAGAUGAGCCCGCGGCCCAUCAGCUAGUUGGCGGGGUAACGGCCCACCAAGGCUACGACGGGUAGCUGGUCUGAGAGGACGAUCAGCCACACUGGAACUGAGACACGGUCCAGACUCCUACGGGAGGCAGCAGUGGGGAAUUUUCCACAAUGGGCGAAAGCCUGAUGGAGCAACGCCGCGUGUGUGAUGAAGGUUUUCGGACUGUAAAGCACUUUCGACCGGGACGAAAAAACGGAGGCUAACAUCCUCCGUCCUGACGGUACCGGGAGAAGAAGCACCGGCUAACUCUGUGCCAGCAGCCGCGGUAAUACAGAGGGUGCAAGCGUUG